GGCCUAGUGGUGUAGUGGCAACACAUCCUCUUUACUUACAAAGUAACGACAGUGUGUUGGAACAAGAUCCCUGUUCAAUUUGGGGCUAGGCCA